UCCACUUCUGUUUGCCUCCGUCUCUCCCAAAGGAGAUGAGAACACCUCCUCCUCUAAUGUGAAUAUUGAAGAUGGAGAACCUCGUGAAAACCCUAACAAGCAAAACCAUAUCAUUUUUCAAAUCCAAAAACUCCCAUCUUUUCCAUCGUGAAUCCAAAACUACAGAAACUCCAGUCAAUCAUACACAAUCCCUAAUCGAAGUGAUGAAAAUGAUGAGUGUACCUGAAGCAGGCCCCAAACAAAAAAAUAGUUUACUCCACCAAGACGAUUCAUUUCAGUCCACCAAGCUAAGAAGUUUAGUCCACCAUUUCACAUCCGUCCGAGUAAUGAGUAAACUAAGAAGAAGAACAGAGAAAAAGAGGGAGGGAGAUGAAAUUGAGUUCAGUUAUUGAUCACAACAUUGAUGUUUGUGUGCGCCACUGGGAUUGAGUACACCUGUAGAUGAGCGUCAUACUAGCUUACGAUGCAUGGUCAGGCGAGGGAAAGGCAAAUGGUGUCACAUAUGAGUAACUACUUACGCAGUUUAUGUCACCUGGAGAUUGAAUGAUUGUUCCACCUCCUCCACCAUAUGAUCCACAUGGAGGAUACCCCGUGCCUCCACUAGAAAUGACUGCACAAGCCCCUCUACCACCACACAACGGUUAUGCACCUCUCCAGGUGCUUACACAGAGAUGCAGAGGAAACUGUGCUCAGAUGGGAAGACUUUGAAAGGGGAUUGUUUGGUGGUUAAUCGUCUUCGAAAAUCCAACAGUGCAUGUUUUCACUUAACUAUCUACCUUAUACGCAGUUUCUCUGUAAAUGUAAUAACAAUAAUUUUUCAAUAAUAAAUAAAGAAUAUCUGAGAAUUUUUCAGUAAA